rnacentral:rRNA from 1 species
CAUGAAGUUGGAAUUGCUAGUAAUCGCGAAUCAGAAUGUCGCGGUGAAUACGUUCCCGGGCCUUGUACACACCGCCCGUCACACCAUGAGAGUCGAUAACACCCGAAGCCUGUGAGCUAACCGCAAGGAGGCAGCAGUCGAAGGUGGGGUUGAUGAUUGGGGUGAAGUCGUAACAAGGUAAC